rnacentral:snoRNA from 1 species
UGGUCCAGAGAUGAUGACUCGUGGCAUGUGAGUCAAGGCUGAUGGAUAAUAUAUGUCAGCAACUUUAAGUUCCAA